GCGGCGGGGCCCGGGCGAGCUGGACGGCCCGGGGGACGCGGGCGAGCGCCGGCGAUGGGCCCCGCGGCGCGGCUGGCGGCUCUGCUGGCGGUCCUGGCGCUCCGGACGGGGGACCCGGCGGCGGCCGCGGCGCGCGGGGACACGUUCUCGGCUCUGACCAGCGUUGCGCGCGCCCUGGCCCCGGAGCGCCGGCUGCUGGGACUGCUGCGGCGCUACCUGCGCGGGGAGGAGGCGCGCCUGCGGGACCUGACCAGAUUCUAUGACAAGGUGCUUUCUUUGCAUGAGGACUCGGCCACCCUUGUGUCUAACCCUCUGCUUGCGUUUACUCUCAUCAAACGCCUACAGUCUGACUGGAGGAAUGUGGUACAUAGUCUGGAGGCCAGUGAGAACAUCCGAGCUCUGAAGGAUGGUUAUGAGAAGGUGGAGCAGGACCUUCCGGCUUUUGAGGACCUUGAGGGGGCAGCAAGGGCUCUAAUGCGGCUGCAGGAUGUGUAUAUGCUCAACGUGAAGGGCCUUGCCCGAGGCGUCUUUCAGAGAGUUGCUGGCUCCGCUGUCACUGAUCUGUAUAGUCCUGGACAGCUUUUCUCCCUCACAGCAGAUGACUGCUUCCAAGUUGGCAAGGUGGCCUAUGACAUGGGGGAUUACUACCAUGCCAUUCCAUGGCUGCAGGAAGCUGUCAGUCUCUUCCGAGGAUCUUACGGAGAAUGGAAGACAGAGGAUGAGGCGAGCCUAGAGGAUGCCUUGGAUCACUUGGCCUUUGCCUGUUUCCAGGCGGGAAAUGUUUCGUGUGCUCUCAGCCUGUCCCGAGAGUUUCUUCUCUACAGCCCAGAUAAUAAGAGGAUGGCCAGGAAUGUCUUGAAGUAUGAAAAGUUCUUGGCAGAGCACCCCAAUCAGGCAGUAGCUGAGACUGUCAUCCAGAGGCCCAAUGUACCCCACCUGCAGACCAGAGACACCUACGAGGGGUUAUGCCAGACCCUGGGUUCCCAGCCCACUCUCUACCAGAUCCCUAGCCUCUACUGCUCCUAUGAGACCAAUUCCAGCCCCUACCUGCUGCUUCAGCCUGUCCGGAAGGAGGUCAUUCACCUGGAGCCCUAUGUUGUUCUCUACCAUGACUUUGUCAGUGACUUGGAGGCUCAGAAAAUUAGAGGGCUUGCAGAACCGUGGCUUCAGAGAUCUGUGGUGGCAUCAGGUGAAAAGCAGUUGCCAGUGGAGUACCGCAUCAGCAAAAGUGCCUGGCUGAAGGACACCGUUGACCCAAUGCUGGUGACCCUUGACCAUCGCAUUGCUGCCCUCACAGGCCUUGAUGUCCAGCCUCCCUAUGCAGAGUAUCUCCAGGUGGUGAACUAUGGAAUCGGUGGGCACUAUGAGCCUCACUUUGACCACGCUACGUCUCCAACCAGCCCACUGUACAGAAUGAAGUCUGGGAACCGAGUUGCAACAUUUAUGAUCUACCUGAGCUCCGUGGAAGCUGGAGGAGCCACAGCCUUCAUCUAUGCCAACUUCAGCAUGCCUGUGGUCAAGUCCUGUGCUUCCAACGGACUGAAUUCUGGGCUGGCCCUCCCCGGGGCGGGCCUCUCGUUUCCAGAACGCAGCUCUGUUUUGGUGGAACCUGCACAGGAGUGGUGAAGGCGAUGGUGACACACUUCACGCUGGCUGUCCUGUCCUGGUCGGAGAUAAGUGGGUGGCCAACAAGUGGAUACACGAGUAUGGGCAAGAAUUCCGCAGACCCUGCAGCCCAAGCCCCGAAGACUAAAAUGUUGGCAGAGGGGAGCCCGUGGAUCCGUGGCUUUCCAGAGAAGCCAGAAGCCAAAAGCCAGAGUAAGAGAGGAGAGAGGGGAGCACCCUGCUGGAGGACGGCCUCCUCGGCAUUGCCUGUUCCUUGCAAAUAGGAGACAGGAAGUGGUCUUUACCAGGGAACACC